rnacentral:rRNA from 1 species
AUUGAACGCUGGCGGCAGGCCUAACACAUGCAAGUCGAGCGGUAGAGCGAAGCUUGCUUCUCUUGCUAGCGUCGGACGGGUGAGUAAUGCCUAGGAAUCUGCCUGGUAGUGGGGGAUAACAUUCUGAAACGGACGCUAAUACCGCCUACUACCUACGGCUGCAAGCAGGGGACCUUCGGGCCUUGCGCUCUCAUAUGGGUCUAGGCCGGGUUAGCUAGUUGGUGGGGUAAUGGCUUACCAAGCCGGCGAUCCGUAACUGGCCUGCGAGGCUGAUCAGUCACACUGGAACUGAGACACGGUCCAGGCUCCUGCGGGAGGCAGCAGUGGGGAAUGUUGGACAGUGGGCGAAAGCCUGGUCCAGCCGGGCCGCGUGUGUGAAGAAGGUCUUCGGAGUGUAAAGAACUUUAAGUGGGGAGGAAGGGCAGUAAAUUAAGACGUUGCGGUUUUGACGUUACCGAGAGAAGAAGCACCGGCUAACUCUGUG